AGUAGCUCAGUGGUAGAGCUUCCGUUUCAUAUACCGGAAAAGCUGGAUUCGAUUCCCGGCU
rfam:Toxocara canis scaffold146, whole genome shotgun sequence.